GGAAGUGUGCCUGAAAGUUAAGGAUCUCCUUGAUAGGGAGAACAAU
rnacentral:tRNA from 1 species